rnacentral:rRNA from 2 species
GCGUAAGCGCGCGCAGGCGGUUUCUUAAGUCUGAUGUGAAAGCCCACGGCUCAACCGUGGAGGGUCAUUGGAAACUGGGGAACUUGAGUGCAGAAGAGAAAAGCGGAAUUCCACGUGUAGCGGUGAAAUGCGUAGAGAUGUGGAGGAACACCAGUGGCGAAGGCGGCUUUUUGGUCUGUAACUGACGCUGAGGCGCGAAAGCGUGGGGAGCAAACAGGAUUAUAUACCCUGGUAGUCCACGCCGUACACGAUGAGUGCUAAGUGUUAGAGGGUUUCCGCCCUUUACUGCUGCAGCUAACGCAUUAAGCACUCCCCCUGGGGAGUACGGUCGCGACACUGAAACUCAAAGGAAUUGACGGGGGCC